rnacentral:sRNA from 1 species
UUGACUGUACUCAAUUCAAGAAUAACUUUUCUUUUUGAAACGAAUUUUAUUUUUGUGCUGUUCUUUGAAGUCAAACAGAACUUUGUUUAAGCACGAAUUAGUUUUCAAUUACGCAUAAAUUACUCCAACUAAGUGAAACUAUUCCAAUGGCUCCGAACAAAUAUAGCAGCAAUCCGAUGUCCAGUCGCAAUUUCCCACCAUCGUUCUGGAACAGCAAUUACGUGCAUCCCAUUCCCGCCCCCACACAUCCACAGGUUAGCGACUUGUAUGGGACAGCGACAGACACUGGCUACGCCACCG